rnacentral:lncRNA from 1 species
AAUGCGUUUUGAGGCAAAAUUCUGUACAUUUUCACGAAGCAUGCUGUUUUGGUUUAUUACCACGUGUUCAGAUAUAUUGUCAACUUUUGCUACACAAAUUCUAUACAUGAAAAUAUAUUAUAUCUAGCUAUUCAUGAUCAUAUGUAUCUUUUUACAUCAUUUAAAAAUUUGCUGUUUUUAGCAUUAAUAUAUUUGUUAAUUUCGUAUG